CUGUAGCAUGCAUGUGUAUUACUGCUCAUUCUCUGCCUUCUGAUUCUUUUUUUCCCCUCUAUUUCUGCAGGACUGGCAGAUAUCUAUAGGAAUACAGCUAGGAAAUUAAAUGUGCUCAGGCAUGAGCUGGUGCUGUUUCUAAUGUUAAACUGUCAUAUAGGGGCUACAUCCUGAGUAGGGAGGCUCAUCCAGUUGCAAGCUUAGACUUCUGUUUUCCCCUGGAACUUCUGUUUCAUGAGGAAUGGAUUUAAUCUUCAUUUUGUUCCUGCUUUUACACCUGCCUAGUUGUGGUGGAACACAUCACCCUCAGCUCAGCAGGGUCUCCAGGAGCCCUCCUGCUAAGUGCCUGCCAGAGACAGAGCCAAAGUCAGUGGCCCUCCAUAAACUGACCUGAUGAGGAUAUGAACAAAUUACUGACACUGCUGGUCACACAACAGCCCCUGAAUGUGACAGUGUGGUCAUUGGUGUGGCACGCAUCAGAGCACAGACUGAACAAUGCCACCUGUGAUCAUCCCAGCAGACUCAAAAGCAAAGGCUGUCCUAAGAAUUACUGCCUCAAGACGUGGCUGUGACUGGUUUCAGUCCACGGGCUGAAGACUCAGUUCUCCAA
rnacentral:lncRNA from 1 species